GCAAAGACUUAACAGUUAGCUAGCAGAACCACAAUGACUUCAAGCCAAGCAGGGGAAGAAUAGGAAAAGAUGACGUGUUGAUUCCAGAUGAUGGUUGAACAGUGAAGUAGUCAAACAGAGAUGAUGAGAAAAACUCUCUGAAUAGAUGCAGGGAAUGAGCAUCAAGCUGAAAGCUGACGAGUUCAUGCUGUGUCGGCAGGAAGUGCCCCGCAUUGGACACCUGCUGACAGCAUGAGGGCUGAGAAUCGACCCCAGAAAGGCUAUUCACUCCUCUAACCUGGGGCUGCAAGGUUGCCUUAGGCCAGUGAGAGACUGUUGCUGCUAGCAAGGUUUAAAUCCCAGCACUGCUCAAGUUUUUGCUCGCAGGGAACUUCACAGCAACAGCUGGUAACAGGGAGAACAGGAGCUGAACUGGCUGGUGAGCACUCAGUAUAGAGACUCUGGUUUUCCAUCUACUCCUCGCCAGAUUGUCUGCUCACCAUGCGUGGUAGUAUCUUGGCUGCUGUUGCCUUAGUGUUUGCUUCUGAGUUGUUUGCCUUUGUGCUAACCAAUUUCUAUGUGGAUCCAGGAUCACUCAUGCAUGCUACUUCCUUGUGUCACUCCUUUGGAAAGGAUUUCACUCUGCUGACCUGCCUCCCCUGUUCAAGUUCACUUCAUCAGCAAUUCAUGGACAAGGACUUUUCCCCGCACUGCCAGCCAGCCCCAACCUCCCUACUCCCAGUCCUCAAUAAAUCCUUUGAACUUUUA